UACGUAGGGGGCAAGCGUUGUCCGGAAUCAUUGGGCGUAAAGAGCGCGUAGGCGGCCCUGUAAGUCCGCUGUGAAAGUCCAGGGCUCAACCCUGGGAUGCCGGUGGAUACUGUCGGGCUCGAGUCCGGAAGAGGAGUGUGGAAUUCCUGGUGCAGCGGUGAAAUGCGCAGAUAUCAGGAGGAACACCAAUGGCGAAGGCAGCACUCUGGGACGUGACUGACGCUGAGACGCGAAAGCGUGGGGAGCAAACAGG
rnacentral:rRNA from 1 species